CUGUUGGCCAUUAACCUUCCUGCCAAGGUAGCGAGGCGGGAGGAAGGCAGCGUUGGGACGUCAGAGCUCAGUACAAUGUGCGUGUGGUUUCGAGAAGGAGGAGGGUGGGAUUUGUGAUGUGUUUGUCACCUGCUGAGCAACUGGACUACUUCAGAACACAGGCGUCAGUCAUCACCAGAAUGGGCAAUUCUUUGUCAACGGGUUCUGGAGAAUGAAAGGGUGGCGGGGCGCUGGAGCCUAUCCCAGCUGACUACGGGCGAAAGGCGGACUACACCCUGAACUGGUGGCCAGUCAAUCGCAGGGCUCAUAUAGACACAGACAACCAUUCGCACGCACAUUCACACCGUCACUGAGUGGGAACUGAACCCACGCUGCUCGCACCAAAGUCAGAUGUCGCAGUGAAGUAGACAUCUGUCUUCAAAAGAGCUCUGCUGGUCAUUGUUUUUUGUUAUUUUAUAUCAUUUGGUGUUUGUUGUCCCCCGUGUGGACCCAUGGUGGACUGUUUACUGCUGCAGCGGGACAUUCAUUGGAGGAGAAUGUCAGGGCUUGCACCCAGUUGCGCCCUUUCAGCGGCAGGCUUGCAGCAGCACCGUUUCUGAGGAGGGGCUGGUCAGCGUUGUUCGACUGUCGCUGCUUGUUGCUUUUGCACCUUGAUGGGCAGCACUUGCAACAGCCGGGGAAAUCUCAGAGUUGGUGGACUGCCAAUGAGGCCUUAUGACUGGACGGUUUGCGGGAAGAGCUGAGCUGAGUGAGGAGCGAGAUGGAACUGGAAAUUGAGAUAUUUUUUCUGUACGUUUGCUACUCAAAAACGGACGCUACAGUUCCUUGGUUACUUUGAUCUUUGCUUGUGGUGAACGGGAGUGACGUCAUGCACGCUGUGAUCACGACAUCUACGAUCAAAUGGUGAAGGGGGACUGAGUCCAGACCUCCUCUUUCAUGAAAGUACUCUAUUUGUCACUUUAGCGCUUGAUCACUUUCGAGUAUUAUUGUGUGGCUUUUCAAAUACUCAGCAACAUUAUUUUACAGUAUAUAGUUGCUGUAGCAAGGCUAAAAAAUUCUAAUCCAAUGAUGGCCUAACACUUUGGCACAGUACUGUAUGACUUUAUUUGCUUUUCAGCCUUGGCACUGGUAUAUAUUUAUAUUAAUAUAUAUUUUAUAUUAGUGUGUUUGUUUGUUUGUUUGUGUGAGACAAUUUUUAAAAAUUAAUGAACCUAUAGAUACAAUUUUGUAGACUGCUAGCCAAAGAUAAAUUCACUAAAUAAAAUCACUAAUUAUAUGCAAAGAGUCUUGGCAGAUGUUUAUGUUCUACUGGGUGCCAUUCUAAACAUAAAACCGCAAGUUUGUUGUAUGUUUGUUUGAUUAUUUCUCUGUCGUAUCAAUGCUUGUCCCAAACAUUUUACACCAUUGGAAAGCUUAUUCAUGUCCCUCUAGCUCCUAUGUGUUGGUGGUGAGCAUUGUGAUCUAGGAGUGUGGUCCCCAAAUGUAGAGAUAUGGGGUUGCAUCUGGUUGUAGAAUCUCCACUCUAAGCAUUGAGAUUGUCUUCAAUAAUGUUCCCAUUUUUUCAGUAAUGGAAAUGAAGCAUAAUCUGCACACGUUGGACAAUAAGGCACCUGAUUGGCAGCACCCGAGGCUAUACAAGAAGCUCAACAAGCGCCAACAAGCUUUCCAACCAUAUACAAUUCAUUGGCAUUGCUACAACAGAUACAUAAUUUACCAAACAAAAAUUCCCCAACUUUUUUAACUAUAGCGCACAGUAAAUAGUGUGACAGGCUUUGACACCUGACUGCCUCAAAAGCAUGUGGUUAAUGUUUACAAGCCAGGUGAAACUUACCUGUGGACACAAGAAGACUGCAAGUUAACCAUUCCAGUUUGUUUUUGAAAGGUGGCUCAAGUGAAAAUGUUAAAAUGUGUCCAGUUUAAAUGCUCAUGCUGACACUGCAGAAAACACUUUGCUUCUAGAUUUUACCUUCUUGUGAUGCUCUGGGCAAAGAUCAUAGGUGAAGAAAUAAUAGGAAACACAGUCAUUUAUCAGUAUACAUAUUGAAUUAUUAAGUGUGCAAAUGUGUCUACACAAUAGUUAUAUUUAGUUUGAAACAUCCAUGUGAGAUCCUGCUGUUUCGGCAUCAAUUAUGCAUAAAUGCAUAUUUGCACUGCUUGUGGAUUAAAUCCAAAUUCUCCUCCAAACAAACCAGGAGUCAUACUGUGCUCCUUCGCUUGCCAUAGAGGAAAUAAAGACAUUGUGGCAUGCACGCUCCCUCCUCCUUACGACACCUUCAUUCAAUCCACUUACAAUGUUUGAGUUGCUUGGCAAACAUGUUGACAUCAUCAAUUGUCAUGUUGGCAAAUAGCACAGCCAAUCUGCUUGUGAAUGUUUAUCUUCUCCCACACUCACCCACCUGCGAAGAGGUGCUGUCAGGAAA